GCUGGGCGCGGUGGCGCACGCCUGUAAUCCCAGCAGUUUGAGAGGCUGAGGCAGGAGGAUCACAAGUUCAAAAGCCAGCCUCAGCAAUUCAGUGAGACCCUGUCUCUA
rnacentral:sRNA from 1 species